UGAUAGGCUUUAAGUGUAAGCACAGUAAUGUGUUGAGCUGAGAAGUACUAAUGUUUCGAUU
rnacentral:rRNA from 1 species